rnacentral:rRNA from 1 species
ACGAACGCUGGCGGCGUGCUUAACACAUGCAAGUCGAACGGAAAGGCCCUGCUUGCAGGGUACUCGAGUGGCGAACGGGUGAGUAACACGUGGGUGAUCUGCCCUGCACUUCGGGAUAAGCCUGGGAAACUGGGUCUAAUACCGGAUAGGAGCCAUUUUUAGUGUGAUGGUUGGAAAGUUUUUUCGGUGUAGGAUGAGCUCGCGGCCUAUCAGCUUGUUGGUGGGGUAAUGGCCUACCAAGGCGGCGACGGGUAGCCGGCCUGAGGGGGUGGACGGCCACAUUGGGACUGAGAUACGGCCCAGACUCCUACGGGAGGCGGCAGUGGGGAAUAUUGCACAAUGGGCGCAAGCCUGAUGCAGCGACGCCGCGUGGGGGAUGACGGCCUUCGGGUUGUAAACUCCUUUCGCUAGGGACGAAGCUUUUUGUGACGGUACCUAGAUAAGAAGCACCGGCUAACUACGUG